rnacentral:lncRNA from 1 species
CCUGGGUGGUCAGGCUUUGGUGGCUGGAGGCUUUGUCAGACACAGAGAUCUCCGGCCACUGGGACCUGCUGGACCAGCACCUGCAUUCUACAAGGUGCAGGGGGUGUCAAGGCUUCUCCCGAGGGGCAGGGCCCCGGUGGCCUCAGUGCAUUUUGCCGUCAUUACCUCCCUCCUGGCCCUGUCUCCUGUCCCGGUUCCCACAUGCUGGGAACAGCUGUCGCUCUAAGGGCUCACACUCCCAUCCCCCCUCACGUCUCCUUUUUGGUCACCUGAGACAAGAUGGAGGGCUCUGGCCUGUCUGUCCAGAGCACCUGGUCCCUUCUAGAAUCCAUGGUCCACGGUGCCAGCUCACCAAGAGCAGCCACCACCCAGGCCAUUAACGCCCACACCCAGGCAGCCGUGACGGAUGAGGAGAAAGAAACCCAGAGACAGGGCUCGGCCCCCGGAGCACCCCUCAGCCCAGCACCGACAGCUGACCGCCUCCGGGACAGCACAGAGGCUUGGUGAGGGAAGGAGGGCACACCACUUGCCACCAGAGCGCCACCGCCUCCUUCCAGCACGCACGCCCCUAAUGCCCACCCCGUCUACACCUCUGCCUCCCUGGCCCAGGCCCCAGAGCAUGAUUAAGAGGAGGGGCCUCAGCUUGGAGAGAAGCAGAGAAAGUUCCCCCCAAACCACCAGCUGGCCCUCUCCCCCCUUCCUGCAGCCGCCCAGCC